AGUGAACGCUGGCGGUAGGCCUAACACAUGCAAGUCGAACGGCAGCACAGUAAGAGCUUGCUCUUACGGGUGGCGAGUGGCGGACGGGUGAGGAAUACAUCGGAAUCUACUUUUUCGUGGGGGAUAACGUAGGGAAACUUACGCUAAUACCGCAUACGACCUUCGGGUGAAAGCAGGGGAUCUUCGGACCUUGCGCGAUUGAAUGAGCCGAUGUCGGAUUAGCUAGUUGGCGGGGUAAAGGCCCACCAAGGCGACGAUCCGUAGCUGGUCUGAGAGGAUGAUCAGACACACUGGAACUGAGACACGGUACAGAGACCUACGGGAGGGAGCAGUGGGGAAUAUUGGACAAUGGGCGAAAGCCUGAUACAGCAAUACCGCGUGGGUGAAGAAGGCCUUCGGGUUGUAAAGCCCUUUUGUUGGGAAAGAAAAGCAGCAGGUUAAUACCCCGCUGUUAUGACGGUACCCAAAGAAUAAGCACCGGCUAACUUCGUG
rnacentral:rRNA from 1 species